GGAUUAGAUACCCUGGUAGUCCACACCGUAAACGAUGUCUACUAGCUGUAUGUCCGAUUUAAGGGUGUGUAGCGAAGCUAACGCGCUAAGUAGACCGCCUGGGGAGUACGGCCGCAAGGUUAAAACUCAAAUGAAUUGACGGGGGCCCGCACAAGCGGUGGAGCAUGUGGUUUAAUUCGAUGCAACGCGAAGAACCUUACCAGGACUUGACAUCCAGAGAACUUUCCAGAGAUGGAUGGGUGCCUUCGGGAACUCUGAGACAGGUGCUGCAUGGCUGUCGUCAGCUCGUGCCG
rnacentral:rRNA from 1 species